UACGUAGGGUGCGAGCGUUGUCCGGAAUUACUGGGCGUAAAGAGCUUGUAGGCGGUUUGUCGCGUCUGCUGUGAAAUUUCGGGGCUCAACCCCGAACUUGCAGUGGGUACGGGCAGACUAGAGUGUGGUAGGGGGAGACUGGAAUUCCUGGUGUAGCGGUGAAAUGCGCAGAUAUCAGGAGGAACACCGAUGGCGAAGGCAGGUCUCUGGGCCACUACUGACGCUGAGAAGCGAAAGCAUGGGGAGCGAACAGG
rnacentral:rRNA from 1 species